GCUGCCACGCAAAGGAUGGCAGGGGAGAGUAGCAACAACCUGUCAAAUUGUGAUGCAGUUGUGUUCUGACAUGCCACGAUUCUGUCAUCUCCAAUAGCAACCAAACCACAACAGGAAGUUUAGGAAACUUGUGGUUUCACCACCAUAAAGGAAAUGACAGUGAACAAACAUCUGGUUCACCACUACAGUCACCAGAGAGAAGAAUCAAUUCUCACAUUACAUCUGAUUAUACAGAGACAGAUUUAAUGUACAAUACAGUGGCCAUUUGCUAACAAGGCCGCCAAACCUAAUUUAAACUAAGGGCUGGAGCAUCAGCACUGUUGCACUCAUCUAAGAACAGAGCUGUUCUCCACCUAUUUGCAACUACUGUCGUCCAGUUACAGUUUUCCUUCUUGCUCUGAUGUUGCUGCUAGGUCCACCUGACCUAGCUGUUCUUCCAGUACAGCCAGCAAGGAGGAAGAAACACUAACUGCUGCUUCCCACGUGUUACAGGAAGCCUGAAAAAUGGGUUGAAGUUCCCACCUGACUCCUAUCAGCCUCCCUACACCCAGAGGCAUCAUCAGCAUAAGAGUAUCAACAAAGAGUUUGGAGAAGUGGCUAAGUGGCCAUCCAUCCAGAAAGGGUAUGAGGAACUAAAUACAUGGCCUCAACUCAUCCCUAGUGGCAAGUGAUGAUCAUGGGACACCGUGAAGGGGACAAUCCUAAGAGCUGAUCCUCAUGAAUCAGUGACUGUCUCUCUCUGUACUCCCAGUGAGAAUGGAGGCAUGUUUAGGACCUGCCAGCCUCUUCCACAAACAUUUUUCAAUACCACAAACACUGCAAGAGUCAAGCUGUGUGAAUGCCAGGUACAUGAGAGACUUCUAGAGAAGACUGAAGACUUUUGAGGCUACAGCGUCAUUAAUAUACUGACAACAUCCAACUAGCGUCUUGUUUCAUCAGCUCCAGGAGUUGCUGUUUUCUUGCCUUUCCAGCACUUCCCCAAGAUAGGACCCUGGAGGAAAGAGGUGCUGAUGGGGACCAAGAAAUACUUCAUGAUAAUAUAAAAACCAGACCACCUAUUUAAUCUACAACCCAUUUUUCAUCAUUUCAAACUAGAAACUCUUUCUUGCACAUUUCAUGACAACUGUCAGCAGACAGGCAAGUGAAUUUGGUAUCCCACCUGGCAGUUUGGAGACCGGAGAUCCCAAAGUCGGAUGGUUUUAUCAAGUGAUCCAGAAAUAAAGGUAUCAUCUACUGGAGACAUGGACAGGGCAACAACUCUGCAAUAUAGAAGAUUAGCUGUAUCAGGUAUUACACAGCCACCAAGACCUUGAUCACCGAAAUGUCCCCUUGUCACAUCUCUUACCUCUUGCUGUGCCCUGGAAAAUAUCGGAUGUAUUUAUUAUCAUGUAGGGAAAGGUAACGGAUUGUAUCUGCAAGAAAAUAUAAGAAACACAUAAGCAUGUAUCUCAUAAUAAACCUUCUCCAACAGAUAGCAACAAUGGUCUGCUUUGUCUUCAAGAGGGAUGUUAAAAUGGGAUUAACUGAAUGAGAAACUGAAAUCAAGUAGUCUGGAAGAAAAACAAACAGUAGAACUAGUGAGGAUGUUCCCAAUGGUUUGGAGAU